rnacentral:rRNA from 1 species
AGAUUGAACGCUGGCGGCAUGCUUUACACAUGCAAGUCGAGCGGCAGCGCGGGGGCAACCCUGGCGGCGAGCGGCGAACGGGUGAGUAAUGCUUUGGAAUCUUCCCAGUAGUGGGGAAUAACCAGUCGAAAGAUUGGCUAAUACCGCAUACGUCUGUAAAGGGAAAGCGGGGGCUCGUAAGACCUCGCGCUAUUGGAUGAGCCAAAGUCGGAUUAGCUAGUUGGUGGGGUAAUGGCCUACCAAGGCGACAAUCCGUAGCUGGUCUGAGAGGACGACCAGCCACACCGGAACUGAGACACGGUCCGGACUCCUACGGGAGGCAGCAGUGGGGAAUAUUGGACAAUGGGGGAAACCCUGAUCCAGCGACGCCGCGUGUGUGAAGAAGGCCUGCGGUUGUAAAGCACUUUAGUGGGACAAAAGCUACGGAUUAAUACUCUGUGGUCUUGAUUUAACCCAAAGAAAAGCACCGGCUAACUCUAGUGCCAGCAGCCGC